CCUCCGUUUGUUCCAUCGGAUUGUGAAUCUGUCUGUCGGACCAGCUGCUUUUUUUUGUUCCUUGUAAGUUUAGUUUUUGAUUAAAUCAUUGAACUCUGCUUGCUGCCUCGUCCUCCUCCUCAUUACCUGCAUUUGGGUCCAAACCUGUUUUCCCUAUUGUUUAAAUCUACAGUAGCUGUUCAAAAAGCAACCAGACAGAUUUAGCCGUCUUACCUGAAGCAGCAGAGGCCACGAUCCCCAGCAGCAGAGCGAGGUAGGACUGCAUCCUGGAUCAACUCCUCACCUGCAGAAAAAAGAGGAUGUUUUCUCCGGGCGGCUACAAGAAGCUGUCUUCUACCUCGGGCGUCCCGGAGGAGCCGAGCAGAGCGUCUCUCUCGCUGGUCUCCUCCAGCCUGUCCUCUUCUGGGAGAGUGUCGGCAUCGUCCUGCGACAUGGAGUCCGUCUCCUCCUCCUCCAGAGCCAGAGAGCUGAGGGGGAUGCACCGAUCCAACAUUUCAGUCCCAGUCCAGAUACCGACACCGAUACAGAUACCUGGGCUUUGGGUAUCGGCUAAUACCGAGUACCGAUCCGAUACCAGUGUUUAAUUAAUAAACUGUAUACCUCA